CUCUCUGUUUCUCUUUUGUCCACAUUAAAAUUUAACCCAGUUUUCUAUUGUAGCCUACAUCCAAGGCAGGCAGAUAUGAGGGGGCAGUCAGAAAUGUGAAGGGAGCAUCGCUGGUACACAUCGUGCUACAGCAGCAAUUUUCUGGGGGAGUAUUUUACACAUAUUUUAUGGAGGGCAUUUUUGUCUAUGACAGUGUUUUCUCCAUGGAAUUGGGUUAUUAGCUCAAACCAACAACCAGGAGAAGUGGAUUGCACUUUGUCAGGCCUCUACCCUACAACCUGUCCAGCUUGGAUGUCCCACCUGGUCACCUUUAUAUAUAGUCUAUGGUACUGACGCUGCUUCUGGUGCAUGACUGUUUUUCAGCCAAUGUUAGCUGACGUAUGUGCGACGUGGCUCGUCAUUGGCUAAUACAUUCUGGGAGGAGCGUAGAGAGACGGAGAAAACCAAGCUGGAACCAGUGCUUCGGUUUGUCAGUACUGACAGAAGACGUCCUUUAUCGAAGAGGUCUGAUUGCUAAAACAAACUUUGGGGCUGCUUUUUUGUCCAACACGAGUGAGACUGGACGCUGAACACACAUGCGGCGCAAAGGUUUACUUGUUCAGCUGCUGCAGCCUGGACAGACACACCAGCUCUCACCUUACAAACCAAACAGGUGUCACCACUUGGUUCACAAUCACAGAGACUUCAUCCACGAACACAGAGUGUUUUUGUACGAUGAAGAAGUUCUUUGAAAUCGGGACUGAGGCCUCUAGGAUUCAAACUUCAACCAUUAUAUCACAGAGAGAAGAGACAGACAUGAAGAUGUUUCAGGUGUUCAGUGGCUGUCGUCUUCUCCUCCUGCAGAGACAAGAACACGUAUGAAUUACAGAAACUGAUAAGUAAAGCAAAAUAUUUGUAACAUACUAUUCUGAUGUUUUUAUGCCUCACCAUAUUGAGACAUUUUUUGACACCUUGGUAUACUAUGACAUGUCACUUAAGAAAAAUUUUAAAAGGAGCUUUCUUUGUUUUUCACAGACACACAUCUCUAAACAGUGUUUGUGGGUUAGAUUAGAUUUCCAUUUUGCUAUUUCAAAGUACUCAUAUCCAAUCUAUUACUAUGUACAUGUUUAUAUUGUUGUUUUAUAUCUUGUCUUGGUGCCUUUUUGUAUUUUUGCUACUGCAACACUGAAUUUCCCUGCUGUGGGACUGAUAAAGGAUUUUCUUAAAAUAAAUACUUCUAA